rnacentral:piRNA from 1 species
GAAAGUUCUUGAUGUUCUUGGUGU